rnacentral:rRNA from 1 species
GAUGAACGCUGGCGGCAUGCCUAAGACAUGCAAGUCGAACGAGGUGGCCCAAUGAAGAUGGAGUGCUUGCACAAAAGUUGGAUUUGGUUUACCACCUAGUGGCAGACGGGUGAGUAACACGUGGGUGACCUACCUUCAAGUUGGGGAUAACAGUUGGAAACGAUUGCUAAUACCGAAUAAGAUAUAACUGUCAAUGUUAUAUUGAAAGGAGCCUUUAAAGCUUGCUUAAAGAUGGGCCUGCGGCGUAUUAACAGUUGGUGAGGUAAUGGCUUACCAAGGUAACGAUGCGUAGCCGGACUGAGAGGUUGAACGGCCANACUGGGACUGAGACA